AUGCAAGUCGAACGGUAACAGGUCUUCGGACGCUGACGAGUGGCGAACGGGUGAGUAAUACAUCGGAACGUGCCCAGUCGUGGGGGAUAACUACUCGAAAGAGUAGCUAAUACCGCAUACGAUCUGAGGAUGAAAGCGGGGGACCUUCGGGCCUCGCGCGAUUGGAGCGGCCGAUGGCAGAUUAGGUAGUUGGUGGGAUAAAAGCUUACCAAGCCGACGAUCUGUAGCUGGUCUGAGAGGACGACCAGCCACACUGGGACUGAGACACGGCCCAGACUCCUACGGGAGGCAGCAGUGGGGAAUUUUGGACAAUGGGCGAAAGCCUGAUCCAGCAAUGCCGCGUGCAGGAUGAAGGCCUUCGGGUUGUAAACUGCUUUUGUACGGAACGAAAAAGCUCCUUCUAAUACAGGGGGCCCAUGACGGUACCGUAAGAAUAAGCACCGGCUAACUACU
rnacentral:rRNA from 1 species